UUAAAAUCAGCACUAAUAAACCCUUGUGAUCUGCAGAUUACUAUUUCAAAAAUAUUUAAAAUUUAAAAAUUCGAAUUCUGUCGUAUUUCAAAAUGUAAUUGCUGGGAAUAAAACCUACUCAUUUGAUUUUUUAAGAAAGUCAGACUUAUGAAAUUAAGAUAGUACUCUUAAUGAAAUUGGUAUUUUUGGAAAUGAACAUAAGCAAACUGAAUGUAGCGCUACCAUCAUCAUUUUCUAGCUAUUUUUAGCUGUUUACCGAAGGUCUGGCAGCACGGCUCAGAACUUGUUUACAUUUUUAAAAUCGAGCAGAUGUUCGAACAUGCGAAUGAGCGUAGGAAGAGGAAAGAGCUGACAAAACAAAGCGCCACCUGCCGGCAGUUGCAUGCAAGUGGAAAAGUUGCAUUCGAAUCGGUUGCAUGUGGAUCCCAAACUAAGUUGCAAAGAAACGUAACGACAACGCAUUGUGACUAAAAUUUAAAUGAAAUGUAAUAGCGAAAACUUUUGGUGCUCUUCUCUUAAGCAUAAUAAAAAUAAACAAAAACA